UCGCUUCUGCGGGGUUCGUCAACCGAUACUUAAAAAAUUGAGCCAAUGCCGUUGAAUCGGGAGACCGAUGCCGUUUAUUUGCCGUGCAUUCCUUCAUUGUUUAAGGAUAGCCAGAGGCGACGGCUUCUUUUAAAGGUCACCCACCUGUUUACGCAGGUUCAAUUUACGGCUUCGGUAACGGCUUUUGCGGUAUCUCC
rnacentral:other from 1 species